rnacentral:rRNA from 1 species
AUUGAACGCUGGCGGCAGGCCUAACACAUGCCAGUCGAGCGGAUGAAGGGAGCUUGCUUCUGGAUUCAGCGGCGGACGGGUGAGUAAUGCCUAGGAAUCUGCCUGGUAGUGGGGGAUAACGUCCGGAAACGGGCGCUAAUACCGUAUACGUCCUGAGGGAGAAAGUGGGGGAUCUUCGGACCUCACGCUAUCAGAUGAGCCUAUGUCGGAUUAGCUAGUUGGUGGGGUAAAGGCCUACCAAGGCGACGAUCCGUAACUGGUCUGAGAGGAUGAUCAGUCACACUGGAACUGAGACACGGUCCAGACUCCUACGGGAGGCAGCAGUGGGGAAUAUUGGACAAUGGGCGAAAGCCUGAUCCAGCCAUGCCGCGUGUGUGAAGAAGGUCUUCGGAUUGUAAAGCACUUUAAGUUGGGAGGAAGAGCAGUAAGUUAAUACCUUGCUGUUUUGACGUUACCAACAGAAUAAGCACCGGCUAACUUCGUG